AUGUAGACCAAUUUGAAAACGGGACCAAAAAUUAAGAAUCUACAAACACAGUUAGAUUCGGCAUAUCAAAGAACCCCAAUUAUUCAAUUUUUGAUGAAAUCAAACAAAGUUUAAUUUUGGACCCUUUGGGCCCCUUAUUCCUAAACUGUUGGGACCAAAACUCCCAAAAUCAAUCCCAACCUUCCUUUUAUGGUCAUAAACCUUGUGUUUAAAUUUCAUAGAUUUCUAUUUACUUAUACUAAAGUUAUGGUGCGAAAACCAAGAAAAAUGCUUAUUUGGGCCCCUUUUUGGCCCCUAAUUCCUAAACUGUUCGGACCUCAACUCCCAAAAUCAAUCCCAACCUUCCUUUUGUGUUCAUAAAUCUUGUGUUUAAAUUUCAUUGAUUUCUAUUUACUUAUACUAAAGUUAUUGGGCGAAAACCAAGAAUAAUGCUUAUUUGGGCCCUUUUUUGGCCCCUAAUUCCUAAACUGUUGGAACCAAAACUCCCAAAAUCAAUCCCAACCUUCCUUUUGUGGUCAUAAAUCUUGUGUAAAAUUUUUUAUUGAUUUCUAUUUACUUAAACUAAAGUUAUAGUGCGAAAACCAAGAAAAUGCUUAUUUGGGCCCUUUUUGGCCCCUUAUUCCUAAACUGUUGGGAC
rnacentral:lncRNA from 1 species